rnacentral:rRNA from 1 species
AACGAACGCUGGCGGCAGGCUUAACACAUGCAAGUCGAGCGCAUCCUUCGGGGUGARCGGCAGACGGGUGAGUAACGCGUGGGRAUGUGCCUUSAGGUGGGGAAUAACUGUGGGAAACUACAGCUAAUACCGCAUAAGCCCUUCGGGGGAAAGAUUUAUCGCCUUUAGAGCAACCCGCGUCANAUUAGCUAGUUGGUAGGGUAAUGGCCUACCAAGGCGACGAUCUGUASCUGGUSUGAGAGGAUGRCCASCCACUCUGGGRSUGAGACACGGCCCAGACUCYUACGGGAGGCAGCAGUGGGGAAUAUUGGACAAUGGGCGCAAGCCUGAUCCAGCCAUGCCGCGUGAGUGAUGACGGCCUUAGGGUUGUAAAGCUCUUUUAACAGGGACGAUAAUGACGGUACCUGUAGAAUAAGCCC